rnacentral:rRNA from 1 species
CCUACGUGGGGCUGCAGUGGGGAAUCUUGGUCAAUGGGCGCAAGCCUGACCCAGCAACGCCGCGUGAAGGAAGAAGGCUUUCGGGUUGUAAACUUCUUUUGACAGGGAAGAGUAGAAGACGGUACCUGUCGAAUAAGCCACGGCUCACUACGUGCCAGCAGCCGCGGUAAUACGUAGGUGGCACGCAUUUUCCGGAUUUACUGGGUGUAAAGGGCGUGUAGCCGGGUUGACAAGUCAGAUGUGAAAGCCUACGGCUUAACCACAGAACUGCAUUUGAAACUGUUGAUCUUGAGUACUGGAGAGGCAGACGGAAUUCCUAGUGUAGCGGUGAACUGCGUAGAUAUUAGGAGGAACACCAGUGGCGAAGGCGGUCUGCUGGACAGCAACUGACGGUGAGGCGCGAAAGCGUGGGGAGCAAACAGGAUUAGAUACCCCGGUAGUC